rnacentral:rRNA from 15 species
AUGCGUAGUCGAUGGGAAACGGGUUAAUAUUCCCGUACUUAUAUAAUCAGUGAUGGAGGGACGGAGAAGGCUAGGCAAGCUUGGCGUUGGUUGUCCAAGUGAAAGCGAGUAGGCCGAAAACUUAGGUAAAUCCGGGUUUUUAAAGCUGAGACGCGAGACGAGCCACUACGGUGGUGAAGUUGUUGAUGCCCUGCUUCCAGGAAAAGCUUCUAAACUUAUGAUUAUAUGAACCGUACCCCAAACCGACACAGGUGGUCAGGUAGAGAAUACUAAGGCGCUUGAGAGAACUCGGGUGAAGGAACUCGGCAAAAUUGUACCGUAACUUCGGGAGAAGGUACGCCCUUGUUUGUGAUAGGACUUGCUCCUUGAGCAGAUGAGGGCCGCAGUGACCAGGUGGCUGGGACUGUUUAUUAAAAACACAGCACUCUGCAAACUCGUAAGAGGACGUAUAGGGUGUGACACCUGCCCGGUGCCGGAAGGUUAAUUGAUGGGGUUAGCGUAAGCGAAGCUCUUGAUCGAAGCCCCGGUAAACGGCGGCCGUAACAAUAACGGUCCUAAGGUAGCGAAAUUCCUUGUCGGGUAAGUUCCGACCUGCACGAAUGGCGUAACGACUUCCCCGCUGUCUCCAACAUCGACUCAGCGAAAUUGAAUUGCCUGUCAAGAUGCAGGCUUCCCGCGGUUAGACGGAAAGACCCCGUGCACCUUUACUACAGCUUCGCACUGGCAUCAGGAUUGUGACGUGCAGGAUAGGUGGUAGGCAUCGAAACCGUGACGCUAGUCGCGGUGGAGCCUUCCUUGAGAUACCACCCUUCGCACUCUUGAUGUCUAACCGCGGCCCAUUAUCUGGGUCCGGGACCCUGCGUGGCGGGUAGUUUGACUGGGGCGGUCGCCUCCUAAAGCGUAACGGAGGCGCGCGAAGGUUGGCUCAGAGCGGUCGGAAAUCGCUCGUUGAGUGCAAUGGCAGAAGCCAGCCUGACUGCGAGACUGACAAGUCGAGCAGAGACGAAAGUCGGCCAUAGUGAUCCGGUGGUCCCGAGUGGAAGGGCCAUCGCUCAACGGAUAAAAGGUACGCCG